rnacentral:rRNA from 1 species
UACGUAGGGGGCGAGCGUUGUCCGGAAUUACUGGGCGUAAAGGGUGCGUAGGUGGCACUUUAAGUUGGAUGUGAAAUCCCCGUGCUUAACAUGGGAGCUGCAUCCAAUACUGGAGAGCUAGAGUGCAGGAGAGGUAAGCGGAAUUCCUAGUGUAGCGGUGAAAUGCGUAGAUAUUAGGAGGAACACCAGUGGCGAAGGCGGCUUACUGGACUGUAACUGACACUGAGGCACGAAAGCGUGGGGAGCAAAC